CCAGCAACGCCGCGUGAGUGAAGAAGGCCUUCGGGUUGUAAAGCUCUGUUAUAGUUGACGAAGUGCGUGACGGUAGGCUAUAAGGAAGCCCCGGCUAACUACGUGCCAGCAGCCGCGGUAAUACGUAGGGGGCGAGCGUUGUCCGGAAUGACUGGGCGUAAAGGGCGUGUAGGCGGUCAUCUAAGUCUGGAGUGAAAGUCCCGGAUUCAAUUUGGGAAUUGCUUUGGAUACUGGAAGACUUGAGUGCGGAAGAGGUAAGUGGAAUUCCCAGUGUAGCGGUGAAAUGCGUAGAGAUUGGGAGGAACACCAGUGGCGAAGGCGACUUACUGGGCCGUAACUGACGCUGAGGCGCGAAAGCGUGGGGAGCGAACAGGAUUAGAUACCCUGGUAGUCCACGCGGUAAACGAUGAAUGUUAGGUGUUGCGGGUAUCGACCCCUGCAGUGCCGGAGUAAACACAAUAAACAUUCCGCCUGGGGAGUACGGCCGCAAGGUUGAAACUCAAAGGAAUUGACGGGGGCCCGCACAAGCAGCGGAGCAUGUUGUUUAAUUCGAAGCAACGCGAAGAACCUUACCAGGUCUUGACAUCCGGUUAAAGCCCAAGAGAUUGGGUGUUUCUUCGGAAGAACCGAGACAGGUGGUGCAUGGUUGUCGUCAGCUCGUGUCGUGAGAUGUUGGGUUAAGUCCCGCAACGAGCGCAACCCUUAUGGUCAGUUACUAACACGUAGCGGUGAGGACUCUGACAAGACUGCCGGGGACAACUCGGAGGAAGGUGGGGACGACGUCAAAUCAUCAUGCCCCUUAUGACCUGGGCUACAAACGUGCUACAAUGGUGACCACAAAGAGGAGCGAGACCGUAAGGUGGAGCGGAUCUCAAAAAAGUCAUCCCAGUUCGGAUUGUGGGCUGCAACCCGCCCACAUGAAGUUGGAGUUGCUAGU
rnacentral:rRNA from 1 species